CAAAGAUUUGAAGAUGCCGUUCUAUUGGGUGCCUGUUAUAGCUUCAAGGCGAGCUACAUCAUGCGGGCAAAAGACGCCUCCAGCGAUCGCCUUCCCGCAAGUCAUCGGGCGCCCAGAGUUCGCGGGCACACCUUUGGAGCUGGAGCCGGAUGCCGCGCGAGCAAUGUUGACGCUGCAUAUGCGUGUACACGCUGCCUGCUUCCGGCAGCCUUGUCACGUGGGUUAUCGCGUCACCGCAGAGACCUUGGCCGCGCAUGGACCGAAUUUCGGUCCGAGGAUGAUAGAACCCACGGCGAUGCCAAGGCCCAUAAUCUUCGGCGCACGCGAGUUGGACCGAAAGCAGAUCGCCUGUUCGCACCACCCUGCAGAACAAUCCAAAACCAGGGAGAAGCGGAAGAGCACUUUGAAGAAUCGUGGGAGGCCUCAGACCUGGCAGCCUCAGACCUGGAAGAUCACCGCAAGCUGGUGAACCAGGCACGGGAAGCAACGCCAACGGCUUUCCGGACUAACGGAGCUGCCCGCACUGCAUGGGCGAAGAUAUGAAUAUUUGAAUAUACCUUUAUUUCCAACAAGAUGGAACUCUUUCGCGCUCAUUCUCGAAAUAAAUUUUUACUCUCUCA